GAAUUGUUCGCAAUGGGCGCAAGCCUGACGACGCAACGCCGCGUGGAGGAUGAAGGUCUUCGGAUUGUAAACUCCUGUUGCCCGGGACGAAAUGCUUCGACCUAAUACGUCGAAGUUUGACGGUACCGGGUGAGGAAGCCCCGGCUAACGCUGUGCCAGCAGCCGCGGUAAUACAGAGGGGGCAAGCGUUGUUCGGAAUUACUGGGCGUAAAGGGCGCGUAGGCGGCCUUCUAAGUCAGACGUGAAAUCCCCGGGCUCAACCCGGGAACUGCGUCUGAUACUGGAGGGCUUGAAUCCGGGAGAGGGAUGUGGAAUUCCAGGUUUAGCGGUGAAAUGCGUAGAUAUCUGGAGGAACACCGGUGGCGAAGGCGGCAUCCUGGACCGGUAUUGACGCUGAGGCGCGAAAGCCAGGGGAGCAAACGGG
rnacentral:rRNA from 1 species